rnacentral:lncRNA from 1 species
GUUAUAUACAGGGGGUACCGGUACAGAGUCAAUGUGAAGGUUAUAUACAGGGGUUACCGGUACAGAGUCAAUAUGGAGGCUAUAUACAGGGGGUACCGCUACAGAGUCAAUGUGGAGGCUAUAUACAGGGGGUACCGGUACAGAGUCAAUGUGGAGGUUAUAUACAGGGGGUACCGGUACAGAGUCAAUGUGGAGGUUAUAUACAGGGGGUACCGGUACAGAGUCAAUGUGAAGGUUAUAUACAGGGGUUACCGGUACAGAGUCAAUAUGGAGGCUAUAUACAGGGGGUACCGCUACAGAGUCAAUGUGGAGGCUAUAUACAGGGGGUACC